UCAAAUGAUCGUCAAGGUUUGGGAGAAACAAUCUCUUCCUCUGCCCGGGUUGCGUGGAUCUCCAGUGGAAAGGAAGAACCGGAACUAUGGUUUGUGCCUGCCUUAUUGCCUCCAAAAUAUUUUUAACUGCAGAGGCUUUAUCUACCAAGAAAUGAAUUGGAUAAUCCACAUAAACAAAAAGCUUGGAAAAUUUAUCCACCAGAAUUUGCCGUGGAGAUACUUUUUGGAACCUGGCUUACCAGUAUAUCACCCCAGCGUUGACACACUGGGAACGGGUCACGCAUGUGGAUGAUCAAAGGUCAGCUCCUGGUCAAUAUGAGAAGACUGGUUUCAGAAAAGUUGAGUGCUGAAGACUACAAAGCUGUUUGUAAGUUAUCAAGCUAGGAUUUGAUCCCAGGUCUGCCUGAUAAAUCCUGGACUCUUAACCAUGACAUAGGAGUGCCCUCUUGACUCCUAUGAUGGCAUAAAGAAUUGUAUCAGAACGGGUAAUCUGGCAUUAAAACCCCUGUGCCAC
rnacentral:lncRNA from 1 species